GAUGAACGCUGGCGGCGUGCUUAACACAUGCAAGUCGAACGGAAAGGCUCCUGCUUGCAGGGGUACUCGAGUGGCGAACGGGUGAGUGACACGUGGGUGAUCUGCCCUGCACUUCGGGAUAAGCCUGGGAAACUGGGUCUAAUACCGGAUAGGACCACAUUUUGGAUGGUGUGGUGGAAAGUUUUUCGGUGUGGGAUGAGCUCGCGGCCUAUCAGCUUGUUGGUGGGGUAAUGGCCUACCAAGGCGUCGACGGGUAGCCGGCCUGAGAGGGUGUACGGCCACAUUGGGACUGAGAUACGGCCCAGACUCCUACGGGAGGCAGCAGUGGGGAAUAUUGCACAAUGGGCGCAAGCCUGAUGCAGCGACGCCGCGUGGGGGAUGACGGCCUUCGGGUUGUAAACUCCUUUCGCUAGGGACGAAGCGCAAGUGACGGUACCUGGAGAAGAAGCACCGGCUAACUACGUG
rnacentral:rRNA from 1 species